AUAAGACUGACCAUUCAGUAGCACCAUGAUGGGCUAAAGUUCUAACAAUUGUUGCAGAAGUCCAGGAUCACUCAUUGCUGUGUCAUUCACCUGAACUGGUUUUCUCUGGGGAGGAAUUAUCUCAGCUGCACCUGAUUCUGUGGCAAAUUGAGCUGAAUUGGUGUAACAUGCAAGCCAAACCUGUUUUUUACGUAAUUAUGGGGCCCGGUGGGGGAGGGAGAGGCCAACGAGAUAUCUUGGCCGCUCUCAAAUCAUGUUGUUGAUAUUCUUCAGGAAGAUUAAGACAAACAUAUCCUAAACCAAUGCUUACGAAGUCAUGACCCUAGAUUUUUGCGAUAAUAACACGUUUAUUGCACAGCUGGGAGGCUGCCUGACAUGCUCUAAACGUGGCCAAAGCCGUCCAAAUCAAGUCAACAAAUGCAUGCCUUCAAGCAUAAUUGGCAUGUGAAAAAGGAGGUUAGUUACUCCGAUUGGCACAUUAGUCGUAAAUCUAGCUUAGUCAUGUUGCAAAUCCUUCUUGUGAGGAUUUUUUAUCAUCUGGCUGUAUCAGUCACAUGUGGUGGAUUUUUCUUUAUGGUACUCCUACGUAGUAGAAAUGAAGCCCCGGUCAAAGCCAUCUCGCUAAUCGCGUUGUUAUCGCGAGAAUUGAUAUGUAUGUAGUAGAAUUGAAGGGGAACAAAUGAACAAAAAACAUGAGGGUUCACUU